rnacentral:rRNA from 1 species
UGCUUCAGGAUGAACGCUAGCGACAGGCUUAACACAUGCAAGUCGAGGGGCAGCGGGGGUGAUGGCUUGCCAUCACCUGCCGGCGACCGGCGCACGGGUGAGUAACACGUAUGCAACCUGCCCGCCACAGGGGGAUAAGCGGAAGAAAUUCCGUCUAAUACCGCGUGACGCGGCGCCGGGGCAUCCCGGUGCCGCCAAAGGGAUUACCGGUGGCGGAUGGGCAUGCGGCGCAUUAGCUAGUCGGCGGGGUAACGGCCCACCGAGGCGACGAUGCGUAGGGGUUCUGAGAGGAAGGUCCCCCACACUGGUACUGAGACACGGACCAGACUCCUACGGGAGGCAGCAGUGAGGAAUAUUGGUCAAUGGGCGCGAGCCUGAACCAGCCAAGUCGCGUGAGGGAUGACGGUCCUACGGAUUGUAAACCUCUUUUGCCGGGGAGCAAGCGUGCGUUCGUGAACGCGCGUCGAGAGUACCCGGAGAAAAAGCAUCGGCUAACUCCGUGCCAGCAGCCGCGGUAAUACGGAGGAUGCGAGCGUUAUCCGGAUUUAUUGGGUUUAAAGGGUGCGUAGGCGGGAUGCCAAGUCAGCGGUAAAAAUGCGGUGCUCAACGCCGUCGAGCCGUUGAAACUGGCGUUCUUGAGUGGGCGAGAAGUAUGCGGAAUGCGUGGUGUAGCGGUGAAAUGCAUAGAUAUCACGCAGAACUCCGAUUGCGAAGGCAGCAUACCGGCGCCCUACUGACGCUGAGGCACGAAAGCGUGGGUAUCGAACAGGAUUAGAUACCCUGGUAGUCCACGCAGUAAACGAUGAAUGCUAACUGUCCGGCUCGAAUGAGCGCUGGGCGGUACAGCGAAAGCGUUAAGCAUUCCACCUGGGGAGUACGCCGGCAACGGUGAAACUCAAAGGAAUUGACGGGGGCCCGCACAAGCGGAGGAACAUGUGGUUUAAUUCGAUGAUACGCGAGGAACCUUACCCGGGCUCAAACGCAGGAUGACGGGUCCCGAAAGGGGUCUUUCUUCGGACAUUCUGCGAGGUGCUGCAUGGUUGUCGUCAGCUCGUGCCGUGAGGUGUCGGCUUAAGUGCCAUAACGAGCGCAACCCCUGUCCACAGUUGCCAGCAGGUAAAGCUGGGGACUCUGUGGAGACUGCCGGCGCAAGCUGCGAGGAAGGCGGGGAUGACGUCAAAUCAGCACGGCCCUUACGUCCGGGGCGACACACGUGUUACAAUGGCAGGUACAGCGGGAUGCCACGGGGCGACCCGGCGCUGAACCCGAAAACCUGUCUCAGUUCGGAUUGGAGUCUGCAACCCGACUCCAUGAAGCUGGAUUCGCUAGUAAUCGCGCAUCAGCCACGGCGCGGUGAAUACGUUCCCGGGCCUUGUACACACCGCCCGUCAAGCCAUGGAAGCCGGGGGUACCUGAGUGCGUGACCGCGAGGAGCGCCCUAGGGUAAAACCGGUGACUGGGGCUAAGUCGUAACAAGGUAGCCGU